CCCACCGGGUGUGUCGCACGCACCGUCCAUCCCUGAAACAUCGCCACGUCCCGCCACGCCCCCAAAUGUCCGUGGCCAUCGGCGGCGGCGUCGACCCCCGUGUCCAAUGCCCAAGCCCCACCAAGCCUCGCCAGCGCCGCCGACGCCGCUCCCGCUCCCGCUCUCCAUCCUCCCGCCGCGGAGCUGCCCGCUCGCCACCGCGCUGCUGGCGCUGCUCUCGCUGCUCCUCGCCACCGCGCUGUGGCUCGUGCUCGUGCUGUCCCCGGCCCAGGCCCCCGUGGCGUCCUCCUCCUCCGCGCUGUCCUACGCGGCGGCGGCGGAUGAGGCGCUCUCCUCUGGCGACGCGGCCUCCCCACUCUCGCUCGCCCACAUCGUCUUCGGGAUCGCGGGCUCCGCGCACCUCUGGCCGCGCCGCCGCGAGUACGUCCGCCUCUGGUGGGAUCCCGCCUCUAUGCGCGGCCACGUCUGGCUCGACGCCAGCGCGCCCGGCGCGCCGGGGCCCAGCGCUGCCGGGGAGGACUCGCUCCCGCCGAUCCGGGUGUCCGAGGACACCUCGCGCUUCCGGUACACCAACCCGACGGGCCACCCUUCUGGGCUCCGGAUCGCGCGCAUCGCUGCCGAGGCCGUGCGGCUCGUGGGGGGUGGGGGCGCGCGGUGGGUGGUGCUCGUGGACGACGACACCGUGCUGUCCCCGGACAACCUGGUGGCGGUGCUCGGGAAGUACGACUGGAGAGAGAUGGUGUACGUCGGGGCCCCGUCGGAGAGCCACUCGGCCAACACCUAUUUCAGCCACGGUAUGGCGUUCGGAGGCGGAGGCGUCGCGCUCAGCUUCCCCCUCGCCGCUGCGCUCGCGCGGACACUAGACGUGUGCAUCGAGAGGUACCCCAGGCUGUAUGGAAGCGACGACCGCCUCCAUGCUUGCAUCACGGAGCUUGGCGUGCCCCUUUCCCGCGAACAUGGAUUCCAUCAGUGGGAUAUCAGAGGCAAUGCCCAUGGUAUAUUGGCUGCUCAUCCAAUUGCUCCUUUCAUCAGUAUCCACCAUGUGGAGUUUGUGGAUCCUAUAUAUCCUGGAUUGAACUCUCUUGAGAGCUUGGAGCUUUUUACGAAGGCUAUGAAAAUAGAACCCAUGAGCUUCUUGCAGCGCUCAGUUUGUUAUGAUAAGAGGCAGAAGCUUACACUAGCCAUCUCUUUGGGUUAUGUUGUUCAAGUGUACCCCAGUGUUCUUCUUCCUCCUGAAUUGGAGCGAUCCGAGCGGACUUACACCGCUUUUAAUAGGAUGAGCCAGAGAACUGAAUUUGAUUUUGACACCAAGGAAAUUCAGAAGUCUAUGUGCAAGAGGCCAGUCUUAUUUUUCUUGAAGGAUGUUUGGAAGGAUGGGAACAUAACCAGAGGCUCUUACAUAAGGUCAAGUGAACGGGAUGACCUCAAAAGGAAGGUGUUUUGCUUCAGGUCACCUCCUUUAUCUGGCAUAGAUGAGAUUCAAGUUUCUGCGUCCCCAUUAAGCAAAAGAUGGCAUCUGGCACCAAGAAGGUUAUGCAGUGCUGUGAAAGAAUCUAUUAAUGGUACUCUGUUUAUGUUUGUUCGGCAAUGUGGGCGCAGAGCAUUCGGCUCCGCUUCUGAUUCUCUUGAUUGAUGGAGAACAGAGAUGUAUAUUUUCUGUCCAGAUGAUACCUGCAAGAUGUAGUUACCAUCCUACAUUCUUUGGAUCAAGUGUUCUGGGGGCUCUUUUUCUGCCUCAAGCACUUGGCAGUAAUUGGAGGCUUGUUAUACUUGAUAGUUGUUGAAGCCAAUGGGAUUCAUAUCUGGCAUCGGCCUUACAGCAUCAGUCCACAGCAUCUUACUGACUAGUAGAAGAUGGUUUUCAUGCUAAUCGUUGCCAACCAGUUGGUUAGUUGCAAAAAGUAAGAAAAUGGUAUGAAUGCACAAGCAGGUGAAAUUUUGUUUUCCCGUCUGCAUUUUGGACUCCCAAUGUCAUGUGUUUGCGUCUGCUGCUUUUGAGUUCCUGCCCUGACAUUUCCACAUGAUGCUAACUUUUGAGCAAAGUUUGCCGAGGUGAACCAGUCCUAGUACAAUGCAAAAGUUGCCAGAUUGACCUGUCGAAUCGCCUUUUUUUGUAGAAGUUGCUGAGAUAGAAGAACCUGAUGUGGGCCGUUCUGAUUUAUAUGUAGAGGCCUGGCCUAAUAUAUGAAAAACGUAGUGACUUCCAUGUGCUAGAAGUUCAUUGAAAUAUUGAAGAAAUACGAGGUUCUAGCGCCCAUAUUCAUUCUUUUUAGAAAAUGAUAGAUUUAUUACCUCAUCGUCUGCGUUGAAAAUUUAGCAUAUGGACUAGCCACAAUAUCAAGGUAACUGUUUUGUAUUAUUUUGUUAUAGAAUUUAUUUUUAGUCAUAAAGAUCACGUCAGCUAGGCAAUGAGUAAUAAGGCGAUACAUGCUUUACUUUUAAUUUUUCCUCUCUUUCUGGCAUGGACUGCCUUCGUACUGUUGGCCCAUAAGAAUUCUGUUGUGCUACAGAGAACAUAGGAAAAGAAAUUGUCUUUUCUCAAAAAAAAAGGAAAAGAAAUUGUCUGUGCAUCAUGACAGCGCCAUAUAUAUUUUAUAUGAAAUCAUCAUGAUUUAUCUCUCAUUUUAUAGUGGGUGUUUUGGAGCUUGGCCUCCAUGGAGGCCA